rnacentral:rRNA from 1 species
GAUGAACGCUAGCGGCAGGCCUAACACAUGCAAGUCGAGGGGUAACAGGGAGAAGCUUGCUUUUCCGCUGACGACCGGCGCACGGGUGCGUAACGCGUAUACAAUCUGCCUUAUACUGGGGUAUAGCCUUUAGAAAUGAAGAUUAAUCCCCCAUAGUCUCUUAGAGUGGCAUCAUUUUAGGAGUAAAGGUUACGGUAUAAGAUGAGUAUGCGUUCUAUUAGUUUGUUGGUGAGGUAACGGCUCACCAAGGCUACGAUAGAUAGGGGCCCUGAGAGGGGGAUCCCCCACACUGGUACUGAGACACGGACCAGACUCCUACGGGAGGCAGCAGUGAGGAAUAUUGGACAAUGGAGGCAACUCUGAUCCAGCCAUGCCGCGUGCAGGAAGACUGCCCUAUGGGUUGUAAACUGCUUUUAUAUAGGAAGAAACCUACUUACGUGUAAGUAGCUGACGGUACUAUAAGAAUAAGGAUCGGCUAACUCCGUGCCAGCA